GAUGAACGCUGGCGGCGUGCCUAAUACAUGCAAGUCGAGCGAAAGGACGGGAAGAUUUCUUCCCUGCUGUUAGCGGGGGGCGGGCGAGUAACGAGUGGAUCAGCUACUUCUAAUUCUGGGAUAACUACGGGAAAACGGUGCUACUAACAGCUCAUACUUUGUACGGCUUGGAUCAAAAGUGAUUGACGGUUUUGCCGUCACUAUUAGCUGGGUCCGCGCUGCAUUAGCUAGUUGGUAAGGUAACGGCUCACCAAGGCGACGAUGCGUAGCUGACCUGAGAGGAUGAUCGGCCACACUGGAACUGAGACACGGUCCAGACUCCUACGGGAGGCAGCAGUGGGGAAUCUUCCGCAAUGGGCGAAAGCCUGACGGAGCAACGCCGCGUGAGUGAUGAAGGUCUUCGGAUCGUAAAGCCCUUUUAUUGGGAAAGAACAGAUGUAGGUUAAACUGCGGAUGUCUUGACGGUACCCAAACAGAAAGCCACGGCUAACUUCGUG
rnacentral:rRNA from 1 species